CAGAGGCAGACAGCUUCCGGUUCUGAGCACUGUACUUGAAUACCGCAUCACUUUUUUCUCAAGGUCAGAGGCAGACAGCUUCCGGUCUGAGCACUGUACAAAUCGGUCAGGGGCUGUGGUAGACCCAGAGACACCACCUUUGGUUGAAACUGUUUACAGUAGUGCGGCAAUAUGCAUAUGAUACCACUCUUCUCUGAAGGGUUUGGAGCAUUAUCCAGAGCCCUGUAGAAUUGUUCUAUAGCUGCUGCAGACACACAUACACUGUAAAAACGACAACUCAAAAUUGUUCACCUUACUAAGAUUUUUGCAUUCACUGACAAUAAAAUAAAACAUUCCUUCUAACGGUAAGCUAAUCGUAUGAAUAUGUAUAUGCAUUUGAUAUUUGUAUUACAUUUCAUUGCGGGAAACAAAAGCGAUAAAUCAUAACCAGGCGAGGCAUUUAUGGCAAUACAAAAUCCCCCACUAGCUAAUCGGUUAGAAGUUAGCUUAUUUUGAACAGCUAAGCUCAAUAUAAUUAGUGUCCACAUAUUAAUUGAAAGAUUUGUGUUGCCGUUAUGUUUGUUAUUCUCGAUGAAUGAUGGCAUUGUUUUAUGCACGUCUGCUUUGCUCAUUGACAUUAAACCGAAGCACCGGCGGUGGUUAUAGUUCACAUUGCUUGCUGCUCGUGACCAUGCGCUGCAACCAAGGGAGAACUAACGUGCUAAAACUGUGAUGCAAAACUUUGGUUUGAUACGGUAAUUAACUAUGUAGCUAUAGCUUCUAGCAUGCGACCUUUGUGUGUUUUAGCCCUGAAGCUCAACAGCAUUAACGUAAACGGUUGCGAAGUAUGUCACUGUGUUCAUUUUCUCCUCUUAUUUUUGUGCUAGGUUUUCUAUUAAGUGUCGCUUCUGCAGCUUUGCCAGAGCCAGUCAAGAGCGUCUGCACCAUCAGCUCAGGCACAGAAGAGGAGCUUACUGGCCGUGUGUUUACAGUGACUGUGCGUUGUUGCUUCUGGUCCACAUAAAUCCCAAACUGGUCCGUAAGAUUCGGCUGACCAAAGUUCCUGAAACUUUAGACAAACUGUACAAUGAACUGCGUCAAAAACUUGAACUUGUGGGUGAAUUCUGUAUACAGUAUGAAGACUCAAACUUUGGCCAGGCAGUUUGCAACCUGAUUGGCAUAGCAGAGUUACCUUCAGAAAAGGCUGUCUUGCAUAUUCUGUGGAGCAAUGAGGACAUGCCAUCACCACCACCUCCAACACCAACUCGGUCAUCCU
rnacentral:lncRNA from 1 species